GACGAACGCUGGCGGCGUGCCUAAUACAUGCAAGUAGAACGCACAGUUUAUACCGUAGCUUGCUACACCAUAGACUGUGAGUUGCGAACGGGUGAGUAACGCGUAGGUAACCUGCCUGGUAGCGGGGGAUAACUAUUGGAAACGAUAGCUAAUACCGCAUAAUAUUGAUUAUUGCAUGAUAAUUGAUUGAAAGAUGCUAUUGCAUCACUACCAGAUGGACCUGCGUUGUAUUAGCUAGUAGGUGAGGUAACGGCUCACCUAGGCGACGAUACAUAGCCGACCUGAGAGGGUGAUCGGCCACACUGGGACUGAGACACGGCCUAGACUCCUACGGGAGGCAGCAGUAGGGAAUCUUCGGCAAUGGACGAAAGUCUGACCGAGCAACGCCGCGUGAGUGAAGAAGGUUUUCGGAUCGUAAAGCUCGGUUGUAAGAGAAGAACGGGUGUGAGAGUGGAAAGUUCACACUGUGACGGUAUCUUACCAGAAAGAGACGGCUAACUACGUG
rnacentral:rRNA from 1 species